rnacentral:lncRNA from 1 species
GGACCCCGUGAGGCUGUCAGCAAACUUCAAGAAUUAUGUCAUCUAUGGCUGAAGCCAGAGAUCCACUCAAAAGAGCAGAUACUGGAACUGCUGGUGCUGGAGCAGUUCCUGACUAUUCUGCCCAGGGAGACACAGACCCAGAUGCAGAAGCACCAUCCACAGAGCAUUGAGGAGGCUGUGGCUCUGGUAGAACACUUGCAGAGGGAAU